AUUGAACGCUGGCGGCAUGCCUUACACAUGCAAGUCGAACGGCAGCACGGGAGCAAUCCUGGUGGCGAGUGGCGAACGGGUGAGUAAUACAUCGGAACGUGCCCAGUCGUGGGGGAUAACGUAGCGAAAGCUACGCUAAUACCGCAUACGAUCUGUGGAUGAAAGCGGGGGACCGUAAGGCCUCGCGCGAUUGGAGCGGCCGAUGUCAGAUUAGGUAGUUGGGUGGGGGUAAAGGCCCACCAAGCCGACGAUCUGUAGCUGGUCUGAGAGGACGACCAGCCACACUGGGACUGAGACACGGCCCAGACUCCUACGGGAGGCAGCAGUGGGGAAUUUGGACAAUGGGCGCAAGCCUGAUCCAGCAAUGCCGCGUGCAGGAUGAAGGCCUUCGGGUUGUAAAC
rnacentral:rRNA from 1 species